UUUUGAUUCUUUGCUGCGGAAGUUGCAGAAAUAUGUCCCUCAAGGCGCAUCAGUUGUCGAUCUCUAUGCAGGUGCUGGUGUAAUUGGGUUGUCUUUGGCUGUUUCAAGGAGAUGCAGGUCAGUUAAAUGUGUUGAGGUUAACAAAGAGUCCAGACAAUCUUUUGAGAAGACAGUGGAGCGCUUGCCUACAAAUGUCGAAAGCAAUAUCAGCUGGCACCAUGCAGACGCUUCAAUAGAACCAACUUCAUGGCUCUUGGGAUCGGAUGUUGUUGUGGUUGACCCUCCGAGGAAAGGACUUGACCCGUCCUUGGUGAAGGAACUACGGCACAUCUCAGCAGUGGAACUCAG
rnacentral:misc_RNA from 1 species